rnacentral:rRNA from 1 species
ACGUAGGGUGCAAGCGUUAAUCGGAAUUACUGGGCGUAAAGCGUGCGCAGGCGGUUAUAUAAGUCAGAUGUGAAAUCCCCGGGCUCAACCUGGGAACUGCAUUUGAGACUGUAUAGCUAGAGUACGGUAGAGGGGGAUGGAAUUCCGCGUGUAGCAGUGAAAUGCGUAGAUAUGCGGAGGAACACCGAUGGCGAAGGCAGCCCCCUGGGAUAAUACUGACGCUCAUGCACGAAAGCGUGGGGAGCAAACAGGAUUAGAUACCCUGGUAGUCCACGCCCUAAACGAUGUCAACUAGCUGUUGGGGCCUUCGGGCCUUAGUAGCGCAGCUAACGCGUGAAGUUGACCGCCUGGGGAGUACGGUCGCAAGAUUA